GAUGAAGAACGUAGCGAAAUGCGAUAAGUAAUGUGAAUUGCAGAAUUCAGUGAAUCAUCGAAUCUUUGAACGCACAUUGCGCCCGCCAGUAUUCUGGCGGGCAUGCCUGUCUGAGCGUCAUUUCAACCCUCAUGCCCCUAGGGCGUGGUGUUGGGGAUCGGCCAAAGCCCGCGAGGGACGGCCGGCCCCUAAAUCUAGUGGCGGACCCGUCGUGGCCUCCUCUGCGAAGUAGUGAUAUUCCGCAUCGGAGAGCGAGGAGCCCCUGCCGUUAAACCCCCAACUUUCCAAGGUUGACCUCAGAUCAGGUAGGAAUACCCGCUGAACUUAAGCAUAUCAAUAAGCGGAGGA
rnacentral:misc_RNA from 1 species